rnacentral:tRNA from 1 species
GUGCCCAUAGCUUAAUGGUUAAAGUUCUGGUUUGUGGAACCAGCUAUACGGGUUCAAUUCCCGUUGGGCACCCCA